AUCGACGAUUUCAAUACCUGCGCCCAGCUCAACGCCCUGAGAUGCCGCGACGCGGUUGAUUUCAUCCGGGUUGCCC
rnacentral:tRNA from 1 species